rnacentral:tRNA from 1 species
GGCGUGGUAGCCAAUCGGUUAGGCAACGGUCUGCAAAAUCGUUUAGACCGGUUCGACUCCGGUCCACGCCU